GGCCAGGGAUGUGGCAAGAAAGACUUCUUCCACAUCAACCGGAAGCCUCUCCUGGGACAAGGGAAUUGAGUGGUAGUCCUGGAUUUAUUUGGAUGUCAACUUCAGCAGGGUGGGCCAGCAACAACUUAGCAGGGGUAGGGGAGGUGGCAAGGUAGGGUGAGGGUAAGGGCGAGGGUGAAGGUGAGGGCGAGUGUCAGAUGUACCUUUGCCCAGGUAGUCAGCUGGGAAAGCAGAGACACCGGGCCAAGCUGGAGGUCGUGACCGCCUGGAGAAAAGACCUCCCCUUUCUGAUUUACACAAAGGUUCCCCAUGAGUUUGCGGGAGCCUCCACUGGUCUGAAAGUGUUCCAGGUUCAACACCGAGGGCUUAUUAUCUCAAUAAGAAAAAGCUGCCUCUUCCCAACAGGAAUUUCCAGUCGUGGUUAUUAGCCUAGGUGUGACCCAAAGGCAGGCUUUCACUAUGGAGUCUUGGCUAGCCUGGAACACACAGAGAUGUAUCUUCCCCUGCUGGGAUUAAAGGCCUAGCUCACACUAGCCAGAAUUUUACAGAAGAAGAAGGAGGAGGAGGAGGAGGAGGAGGAGGAGAAGGAGGAGAAGGAGAGGAGAAAGAAGAAGAAGAAGAAGAAGAAGAAGAAGAAGAAGAAGAAGAAGAAGAAGAAGAAGGAAGAAGAAGAAAGAAGAAGAAAAGAAGAAGAAAAGAAGAAGAAGAAAACGGAAAUUUUUAUUUGGACAAAAACUUAGGCCUUGGCAGCAUGGGGGCUCAAGCCUGGAUUCCCAAUUCUCUGAAGGCUGAUGCAGGAGGAUUAAUGUGAGUUUGAUGCCUGCGUGGUAUAGUAUGAGACAGUAUAAAGAAAGACCCCCCCCCCCC
rnacentral:lncRNA from 1 species